GUCUCUGUGGUGCAAUUGGUUAGCACAUUCGGCUAUUAACUGAAAGGUUGGUGGUUCAAUUCCACCCAGGGAUG
rfam:Ailuropoda melanoleuca scaffold2514_1, whole genome shotgun sequence.